rnacentral:rRNA from 1 species
UACGUAGGGUGCGAGCGUUAAUCGGAAUUACUGGGCGUAAAGCGUGCGCAGGCGGUUGUGCAAGACAGAUGUGAAAUCCCCGGGCUCAACUUGGGAACUGCAUUUGUGACUGCAUCGCUGGAGUGCGGCAGAGGGGGAUGGAAUUCCGCGUGUAGCAGUGAAAUGCGUAGAUAUGCGGAGGAACACCGAUGGCGAAGGCAAUCCCCUGGGCCUGCACUGACGCUCAUGCACGAAAGCGUGGGGAGCAAACAGG